GACGAACGCUGGCGGCGUGCUUAACACAUGCAAGUCGAACGAUGAUGCCCAGCUUGCUGGGUGGAUUAGUGGCGAAUGGGUGAGUAACACGUGAGUAACCUGCCCCUGACUCUGGGAUAAGCGUUGGAAACGACGUCUAAUACUGGAUAUGACUGCCGGCCGCAUGGUCUGGGGGUGGAAAGAUUUUUGGGUUGGGGAGGGACUCGCGGCCUAUCAGCUUGUUGGGGAGGUAAUGGCUCACCAAGGCGACGACGGGUAGCCGGCCUGAGAGGGUGACCGGCCACACUGGGACUGAGACACGGCCCAGACUCCUACGGGAGGCAGCAGUGGGGAAUAUUGCACAAUGGGCGAGAGCCUGAUGCAGCAACACCGCGUGAGGGAUGACGGCCUUCGGGUUGUAAACCUCUUUUAGUAGGGAAGAAGCGUAAGUGACGGUACCUGCAGAAAAAGCACCGGCUAACUACGUGCCAGCAGCCGCCGUAAGAC
rnacentral:rRNA from 1 species